ACAUGUUUAUAACAAAGAGUUAAUUCACUAGAUCCCAUUAUAACUCCACAUUUAAGUGCACUCGAGCUAGAGUAGCACUGGGAUGAGUGACCGCCCGAGAAGUCUUGCUAUUUUACAUGUC
rnacentral:rRNA from 1 species